rnacentral:miRNA from 1 species
UGUGUGUGUGUGUGUGUGUGUGUGUGAGUGUGUGUGGAGCCAACAGUCCAUAUCACGCCACAUUAUAGGCCCGCCC